rnacentral:rRNA from 1 species
GAACGAACGCUGGCGGCAUGCCUAACCCAUGCAAGUCGAACGAGACCUUCGGGUCUCGUGGCGCACGGGUGCGUAACGCGUGGGAACCUGCCCUUAGGUUCGGAAUAACUCCCCGAAAGGGGUGCUAAUACCGGAUAAUGUCUUCGGACCAAAGAUUUAUCGCCUUUGGAUGGGCCCGCGUUGGAUUAGCUAGUUGGUAGGGUAAAAGCCUACCAAGGCGACGAUCCAUAGCUGGUCUGAGAGGAUGAUCAGCCACACUGGGACUGAGACACGGCCCAGACUCCUACGGGAGGCAGCAGUGGGGAAUAUUGGACAAUGGGCGAAAGCCUGAUCCAGCAAUGCCGCGUGAGUGAUGAAGGCCUUAGGGUUGUAAAGCUCUUUUACCCGGGAUGAUAAUGACAGUACCGGGAGAAUAAGCUCCGGCUAACUCCGUG